GUGCUCACCUUGACAGCACAGACACUAAAAUUGGAAGAUCUAUAGCUAAAGUUAGCAUGGCCCCUGCCCAAGGAAGGCAUAUAUUCAUGAAGCAUGUUUACUGUUUUU
rnacentral:snRNA from 1 species